rnacentral:lncRNA from 1 species
AAUUAUCCUUCAAUCUAUAUCAAAAUUGAUUGAUAAGAGCUUUGUCAUUCUAGUCCACGUCACAAGCAAGGUUUUGGAAUUGAACAGCAUAUAUAGUAGCUGAUUGUUGUCGUAAUACGUGAAGUCUUACUUGAGAAUGCUCCGAGCACCUAGCUAUGGAAGGUAGAAUGGAAAUUACAGCAACAAAAUCUUAACUCUAAUAGAAUACUAAUUAAACUCUAAUUAUACUAUAACAAUGCUAAACAAGCUUUAAUCAAAUUCAAAGAAACUUCAAAGGAAUUACAAAGAAAUAAUAAGAAAUCUUAAAAAAAUAUUAGAAUGAUUGCAAAUAUAUUUCAAAUACAUUUCAAUUUAAUCUUAAUUUAAUCUUAAUUAAAAUCCUAUUGGACUUUAUUCAACUUUAGGCCAAAAACUAACCAAAUCUUAAAUUUUAAAUAAAUCCUAAUAAAAUCCUAAAUCCUAAAUCAAAUCCUAAUAAAAUCCAAAACCCUAA